rnacentral:rRNA from 1 species
UACGGGGGGAGCAAGCGUUGUUCGGAUUUACCGGGCGUAAAGGGCGCGUAGGCGGCCACCGCAAGUCGGUUGUGAAAUCUCUGGGCUUAACCCAGAAAGGUCAACCGAUACUGCGGGACUAGAGUGCAGAAGGGGCAACUGGAAUUCUCGGUGUAGCGGUGAAAUGCGUAGAUAUCGAGAGGAACACCUGCGGCGAAGGCGGGUUGCUGGGCUGACACUGACGCUGAAGCGCGAAAGCUAGGGGAACGAA